ACAAAAAAAACGAAGUCAUUAUUUGCACAGGUGUAUAUGGGUGAUUAUGAUACAAUAAUAAAAAGGCUAAAGCAAACCUUUUCUUUGACACCGUCAACAACAGCCCACAUAUACUUGUCUUCUUGUUUCAAUUUCUCUUCUUUUAAGGCCUUCUUCUCCUGCAUCAACCAUAACCACUGAAUUAAAAAUUUAAAACAGAAUAGUAUGAUCAACUAAUUCCACUAGUUAAUGCCCCUAGAGAGAGUAGAGAAGCAAAACUAAAUGCAUGCACCCAACCCCAGAUAGUUGGAAUUAGGCGUUAACUAGAGUAAAAUGUUCCAAACUAAAGACUACAUCCUAUUCAAGAUAACAGCAAUCUUGGAAGAUAAAGUCCAUCAUCAGUGGACCUCAGACCUGAGUUCAAGCUCUAGCAGAGUUUUAAUACCUCCUUCACCUGUUGUUCACCUUUAGAAGUAAAAGACAUGCAAGAAUGUAUUCACAGAACUCAGUUUCCAGAAUGCUGCUUAUAUUUUGUACUUUAAAGACAGACAGCUCCAAUGAACAGUGUAUCAUGCGAUAGCUAAUGGAUUCCUGAAAUGACACAUCACCAAAACUAGUCCCAAAAUAUAGCAUUUGAAAGAGGAUUCAGCCAUUGCAUGCAAUUGCUUGUCUCAGUCAAAUCAUCACUUCUUACUAUCAGAUAGCCUUUGGUAUAAUAAACAACUUAAGAUAGUAGCUGCUUGGAUGAAUUCUUGGAAGGUAUAAGAAUUAGUGUAAAAAUAACCAAUGGAGUCAAACUUAAUAAAACAGUCACUUAUAAAAAAUAAAAAUAAAAAGGUUCUUUGCAUGCAAUUAAAAAACACAUCAAGAUACAACACAGUUUUCUUUCAUUAUUUUUCAAUCAAAGUUAAUAGGGUAUUCAAGGACAUCUCAACUUACUUCUGUAGUCAUUUGCUUUUUCUUCUCCUUUUCCUUCUCAUGCCAUUCAUAUAUUGGAGUGAAAUCACAAAGUUCAAACUUCUUAAUUACAUGAUUUUUUCCAAGUCUCACUCUCCAAUCAUUCAUGAAGUUCUCUAUAAAUCUCGGUUUGGUUGCAUAGUCUGUAUCUUUCAUUACUGCAAACAUUGUUGCAACCUGCAUAUUGAAAGAACCAGGAGAAGUGGAAAUAUACAAUACGUAUAUUAAUGAGAAAUUCAAAGUGAACUCGCAAUAAAUCUGAUAACACCAAUAUUUCUAAUGACAAUAGAACAUGUGAUAACUGGUGAUGACACAUGAAACAUAAGAAAAAAAAGUAAAAAAAAUAAAUAAUAAGGUACCAAACUAUAGACAUUCUGAGCCCCACCUCCUCCUGUUCAGGAGUCAAAUCAACUGGGCGACCAUUGUAGAGCAUUUUAACUCCAUGAGGCUUGUAGGGAGGUGGAAAAAUAACCCCAUUGUGCUCCAAUGUAGUCCACUUCUGUCCUUCACCAGAGUUGGGAGGUACUUUUGUUGACUUGGAGUAUUUUGAACUCUUUGCCAAUUUCUUGGAUUUCUUGGCUUUCUUGGUUGCCUUCUUUCGUGAUGAGGGGAUAACUUUUGUUUUCGAUGCUUUUUUAUUAUCUGAGGAAACUGACUUCUUCAGUCUCUUGACAGUAGGAGUAUACUCAUCAUCAUCAUCGUUGUCGUCGUCAUCGUCAUCCUUUUGCUCUGCUUUCACAGAUACUUGCUUUACUUUGCCUUUAACAGAUCCAUCCAAAAGCUUUGGUUUUUUAGAUGAAGAAUGGUGUGAAGUAUUCGCCUGACCUAGAGGCCUCUUGUUCUGACCUUUGGGAGAUUUUACCCGUUCAUCAUCUUUCUUACUGAUGCCAUUGGGUUUCAGUGUAGAAGUCAAGGGCUUCUUCUCAUCAAAGUUAUCCAGUUUAUCCAAAGAUGCCCCCAUACCAGUUUUCAAUCGGAAUUUUGAUGACAAAGGGAUUUCAUCUUCUGAAUCAUCAGAAAGGUUCUUGUUGUUGACCUUAGCCUUCUGAGAUUGUGGCCGGCUAGAAGCAGGUGAACUGAGCCCCUUUGAGUCAAGCAACUUGCUUGAAGAUGCCCCUUUCCUGGAUUUCAAUUGUAACUUUAAUAACAAAGGAAUUUCAUCUUCUGAAUCAUCAGAGGACUCCUUGACGCCAACCUUCGUCUCUGGAGGAUGUGAGCUAAGAGAAGGUGAAUUAAGUCCCUUUGAACCAAGUGACUUUCCAGAAGAAGACCUCACAUAGGUUUUCAAUGGGAAUUUUGAUGACAAAGGAACUUCAUCUUCCGAAUCACCAUCAGACUUCUUGACAUCAACCUUAGUCUUUUGUGACUGUAAUACCGGGGAACUAAGUCCCUUUAAAACAUGGGAAUUGCCCUUUGGUAAUCGUGCAGAAAGUUUGGCACUCAAUGGUUUAUCAUCUUCAGAAUCCUCAGACUCACCAUUUGCAACAGGAGGAUUGAUCAAUUGCUUAUUCUCCAUAUAGAACUGGCUGAAUUAUGUCUUGAUAACUGUUUUGAACUUUCAGCAAAUGAAACAAAUGCAAUUGAGUGCAUUACAUAUGUCUUUUUUUGUGCCUUUGAAAGCAAAUCAGUUUUAUACCACAGCAGGCUUGAGCUUUGACCAUUUCCUUUGAUACGUAGCUGUUCCUUUUGAAAACACAAGAUAAAUCAUCAACAUCAUCAAACAUUUUUGGUGAGAGAAAAGACAGGAUAGCUACAUUAAUCUUAGCAGUGUGGCAUGUAAAUCAUGCAACCACUACAGAUGUCAUUGCUUUUGAACCACCAAGAAAUUAUACACCACAUAAGAAAACAAAUCACCUCCAACAAAUCUAACUAAUAAAGAAAUUUCCAGUAUUAUUUCUAUAAGUAAAUCCAAACAUAUAGUGGAUGAUAUAGAACCACUAACUUAGUAGAGCAAUGACAAAAUUGUAAAAGAAAAAAGCCAAAACAAAUAAAUAAAAAGAAACUACCACCAAAAUACUAUUAUCAGAUAGAUGGUGUAGCACAAGGAGCUAAUAUGGAUUGGGUUUCCCCUAGGAGUAUUGGAGAUAUGAUGGUUAUUUCAUUUAGAAGGUUAGGGAAUUCAAUCAGAGGCAAGAUUCUUUGGCAUAUCGCUUGCCUCAGUGUACUAUGGAUUGUGUGACAAGAGUGAAACGCUAGGAUUUUUUAGGAUAAGUACAGCACGGAAGGGAUGUUGUAGGAUCUUCCUCACUUCUACUCCUCCUUUAGGGCCUCUUGUACUGUCGCUUUUAGAGGAAUUCCACUUGAUGUUAUUCAACUAAGUUGGACAUCAGUUUGUAACAUGAAAGGGGUGGAUAAAGUUUGAGAGCGUUUGAUUUUGGUUUUUUGUGACAUUUUGUAUAAGUAUUCAUCUGUAGUUAUCAUUGUAUAGUGGAGGAGUAUAGUCUUACUUUAAUUAGGUUUUGUAUUUUGUGGGAAGGACCUCUCAUCCUUCUCUUGAACUUUACUAUUAUCAAUAUAUAUUUCAUUUCUGUAAAAAAAAAAAAAAAAAAAAAAAAAAAUUCAGGUCAGUACUGGAAAUCGCACAACUUAGAAGGUUCAAAAGUUUGGUGCACUUAAGAAGCUCAAAACAGUAUGCAAUGAAUAAGUACACACACAUGUAUAGAAAUCUAUUGAUAGAAAGGGUUUAGAAUUUCAUGGUAUAGCCAAAAUAUUGAAAAGAAACCCUAAAUUAUCAACCAAUAGAGUGUUAAUUUAUGUAUGAAUAAUAUCAACUAGUAACCCUUUACUCUUAGAUAUGCUUGAGAGUGGUUUAAUACUUAGUAUUCUAUAUAUAAAUGAAUAUUGUUAUUCUAAAUAUCAUCACCUAAUAUCAUCUACUUCUUUCUAUUCAUUAUAAACAUUCCAUAUGUAAGAACAUUUUAGUUUCUUUUGUCAGUUUGACUAGUCUAAAUGACUAAAUCUACUUUGAUGAUCAAUUGUGCUACAAUCACAGUUUGGGUCUUCCAUUGUGGUGUGGAGUGGGGGAACUUCCUACCCCCUAUUUGAGUCGUCCAUUGGGUGCCUCCUUUAAGUUGUCCGUGGUUUGGGAUGUGGUGGAUGAAAGGUACCAUAGGAGUUUUGCUCUUUGAAAUUGGCAGUAUCUUUCAAAGGGUGGGAAGCUUACAUCAAUUAAAAGUACCAUUUCAAGCUUGUCAAUUUACUCCACAUCCAUAGUAGUCAUUACUAGAAAAGCGAGCAUGAGACUUGAGAAGAUUUAGAGAUGCUGGCUCUAGGGAGGGGGGGAGCCAGAAAGAAAAAGCCUCAUCUAGCAAAAUGGUAGAUUGCAUGCAUGGCUAAGAAGUAAGGUGAAUUGAGCGUUAGAAAUUAUCUAUUCUCAAGUCAACAAGGCCCUUUUUGGCAAACAGUGUUAAGAGGUUUACUCAGAACAAGAUCCUCUAUGAAAGUGGAUUAUAGUGGAGAACUUUGGGAAGGAUGCAGAGAGGUGGUAUUCUUGUGGCAUGAGGUACAGGUAUGGGAUAGAGUUGCGAAAGGAUAUAAGGAGAUGAUGGAUUAAUUUCAAAGGUAGAACAUGCUUAAACAUAGGUGAUUGUAGGAGAGUGAAGUUUUGGAAAGAUGUUUGAUAUGGUGACUCAGUCUUGAGCAUCUCCUUUCCCUCACUAUUUGCCAUUGCUACCUCUAAUGAUGCUUAGGUUGUGGAUGUGCUAGAUGAGGCAUGUGAGGGAGGUUGCUAGAGACCCUAUUUCUUAAAACAGUUGAAUGAUUCAUAAUUGGAAAAUGAUGCGGCUUUUCUUGUAAGGCCACAAGAGAAAUUAGUGAAAAGGGAAAAGAGAGAUAGAUUAUUUUGGUUGGAUAUAAAGGACAGAAAAUUCUCAGCCAAAGCCUACUAUUCUCUCUUGGAGCAGGUGAGACCAUGAGAGGAGGGUCAUUUCCUCUGAAUCUAGUUUGGAACUCUUGGAUGCAGGUGAAAGUAGGGUUCUUCACAUUAGAGACAGUUUAGGAGGGAAUUUUGACUUUGUAACAGUUAAAAAAGAAAAGGAUGAACAUUAGCAAAUAGUUGCUACUAUGCAAGGGAGAAGAAGAGUUGGCUGAUCAUAUCCUUCUCCACUAUGCUAGAAUGAGGAUCCUAUGGCACUCAAUUCUCUCUUUAUUUAGCUUUGAGCGGGUGCUACCUUCUUCAAUUAAAGAAAUUCUGUUAUCUUGUCAUGGGACUUUUGCAGGUGACAGACAAAGGAAAGGGUUGCUCUACUGUGUUUAUUCUAGACUAUUUGGACAGUAACUGAAAUAGUGAUAAAGAAUGAGAGAUGAAGCUCAGUCGAACUGAUAAGAAAAGAGAUCAAACUGAGAAUCUCACUCCAGGGAGUGAGCAAAGAACAGGAUGGAAUCCCGAGUGUUAGGCGUCAGGUUGGUUCGACGUAGUUUACUCUUAUGCUUGGCACGGGACUGUUGAUUCAAUCUCAAAGCAAUUUCGGAGACAGGAGCGAAGACUUUCUGACUGGCUAAUCUUAUGAUUGAUGGUUCCGAUGAAAAAUAUGACUUGGAAUUCCCAUCAGAAGCUAAGAACGGUAAGCCGUCAGGUCAAAGUACGUAUUUGAGGAUUGCCUCUCCAUGACAGAUGGCUUCCUCCUCAUUUGCCAAUAAAAAAGACAAAUAGGCGGGCCCUUCUGCUUGGGUCAUUAGUGACUACUGGACCCUCCGCAUAAUCAUUGAUUAUUGACUUCUCCGUAAUCGAACCUGCCAUCGACACCGCCUCUUCCCCUGUUGAUAACCUGGCCUUGGAACUGGCCUAUGUAUGGUCUCUCCACUAAGCUUUGGUCUACGCGCACUAGAAGGGAGAACCGGGGAGGUGUCUGUCCUCUAUUUAAGAGAUUUUCGAAGGAAUGCCCGACUCUCAGUCAAAGGGGAGCGGUACAUUAUGCGAAAACUGUUAUGGCGCUGAAUGAACCGAUACGAGAUCUAUGCCAAUUUCAUAGAGCUAGUCUUGUACUAAUAAUACAAAUAAGGCAUAUAUUCGGUGCCCCAAAUCACUUCUCCUAAAAGGGGACCCAUUUAUGCCUUAUUGACGCGAACUGGUCUCUAUCGUAUCGAUCCAGAGGGAAUAAUCUUGGUCCAAACCCCAAGGAAGGGAGAUGGUUAUCGAGGUUUGCAAAGUCUAAAACUUCAGCAUGUUGGAUGCACCCAAACCCCGUUAACCAAAAGGCGAAUAGUUAGCCGAGGAAGAAUAAGCUUUUUGCCCGAUAGGACGGAAUCAAUCGCAACACAAUGGAGGAGGAGCGGAGCGGGCAUAGUUGGGCCUAAAGAGGCGAAUAGGAUCAGCACGAAUAAAGACUUUCAGGCGAAAAAGGGGAGUUUUGGGCCGGAUGAAAAAAAGCGAGUAGGCAAGGGGCGUAGCGAGUAACCAGCUAAUCGAAGUUCCUGUCCCCCUGUACAUGAAGCCUGGGAGCACCCGCUGGGAAGGUGCCUGGCAGGAGAUAAAAAAGAAAAAGCGGUGAUAAGCCGAGUAGACUUAGCUGCAGAACUAGCUCUUUCAUUCGCCGAAUCAAUAGAAGAAUAGCCCUCUGACCACGCAUGUCUGAAUGAGCAGUUCAUAGGGUACUUCGGAGUGAACGGUGCGCUCUCGCUCUUUUGAUACACAAAGGUGCGCUCUCACUUUCUCCCUGGGACAAAGCAGUGCGCUCACUCACUGACUGCUUGUUGUCCUGAUAGGGUAGCUUCUUCGCAUCUUUCCCCUGUCCGAAGUGGAUUGGCAAUACCAAUAAAUCUCACCGAACAAACUCCUUGUCAAAGCCGUAAAGCCAUGCGUCUUCGACCAACCAGGACCUGCCUAUAGCGUUUGGGUGGCGACCUACUAGCGUAGUAACAGAAAGGCAUCGACGUGGGCACUGAGACUUGUGUUCCAUCACUAAGAAAGGGAUUCUCGUUAUCUAAGUCAUUCCCAUUGGCAGGAGGCACGCCAGCAUCUCUACAAAUUCGUCGAGGAGAGUUUUUCACUAAACUUGAAGGAAAAAAGAUUGAUUCAUCGCCCGGAAAAGAAGAGAAAAGAGCCCUUCUCUUUCUAGCCAUUCCGUUACGAGACUUCUCAACCGCCUUGACAGCACCAAGUUGACUUGCCGCUCGACCCAAUCUUGCGAUUUCCGAUGAUGAAACCGUGCGCUUGAAAAUGUGAAGCAGCUGGGCCAUGCUACCAAAAGCUCGUUCCUGAAUUCUUUCUGACAAUGGAUUAGGAAAUUCCUAGAUGGUGCCUCUUCAUCUAUAUUAGCUCUUGGUGUCUGAAUGGGCACUUAUUAAUGAGAGGGAUGUGUUUUUUGUUUCUCUCUUCUAUUUCUUUGCGUACAUUGGUCCACCCCUUUUUGUUUAGACAUUGUUAACAAUAUUCUUGUUUGCCUACCAAAAAAUCACAGCUUUGCCACAAGAAAAAAAUGAAUCAUACAAAUUCCUAAACGAAGUUUCAAAGCAGAAGUUUCCAUCUAAUAUAGAGGAUUCUUGCAACUGAUUAGAGAAAUAUAGACAUACAUCUGGAGGAAUAAAAGAAAAAAGUAGAGAGACACCAGAAAGAAUAAGUAUAGCAUAAAUUAUCUUUAAUGAAAAUCCAUCCUUGCUAUCACCUUGGAAUGACAAAUGCAAUGUAAUCCAAUAUGAAUAAGAUACUUAAUCAGAGAUAUUCAAAAUAAAAACAUGGAAUUCCACAAUUCCAAAAAAAAAAUGAAGAACUGAAAAGAAAUGUGUCUUGGUUCAAGAAAUUAUCUUCUAAAAGUCAAAGAUUAGAAUAUGCAUGCAUUUUGAUGCUUGUCAUCACUACUUUAUCCAAUUCCUUAAAUCCCAUAACAAAGCAUUUCUCCUUAAAGUAUUCUGUAUGCCUUCUAUAAUGCAAAAGGAAUUGUUAACCCCAAAAUGAGAGCCUCACAGGGGUGCCUCAUAUGAAAAGAGUAAAAGGCUUCAAGCCAUGUAAUGCUGUUACAAGUAAGUAUUUUCCGAGGUUAAUCUAUCUUUCAACAAUCAAUAAAGAGAAAAACAGUGCAUCUCAGCUAUAUAUGAACUAAAUCACCAACCUAAAUAUGAUUGUUUUUCUGAUUUAUCAAUGAAUAAUCAAUGACAAACAAAGCCCUAAAAGCUAAAAUACCAAAUGAGGCUUGGGGGGUGGGAAUUUUUAAGGGACCUGUGAUUAGAACAUGAAACUAGCAUACAUUAUACAAGGCAAAUGUAACAACAAUUCCCUAUUAACUAAAUAAUCAAAUCAAAUCAAAUCAAAUAAUUAGCCAAAUAUUUGAGAACUCCAGCAAUCAACCUAAAAUCCACCCAGUAACAAACAGAAUCAAAAUCCAUCGUAACAAGUAAAACUCUGAAUUAUAAGUCAAAAUAACAUACAACAAACACCUAACAACCCAAAUUUCAAAAAAUUAAACAAAACCCAUUCCGUUGAAGCUAAAAAGGGGAAAGAAACUGGCAAAGAGAACGACAAAUUUUCGUCCUUAUAGAUUUUAGAUUUCAACUAACAAUCCGAACAUCAAAGCAAUACCCAUUUCAGUAAAGGCUCAAAAUGUUACAGAAAUUUACAAUUUCUUUCAGAAAAAUGUCGUUCUUUUAGGUUUUGAAUUUCAACCAGAAACCUUAACACUUCACGAAAACGAAUGAAACAAAGAUAUGGACGUGGAUUUAGGGUUUGCCUUCUAUAUUGCACCAAAAACCCAGUCAGAAAACAACAAAUAGAAACAAGAACAAAAUUCAGCAUAUGAAUGCAGACCCAAAAUCUAAACUUUCUCCAUUUUCUUACCCUUUUUCGUUUUUUUUCAGCUCCCGUGUUUUUAUUUUUUCCCCUCUAUCUAGGCGCCUGUUGUGUUGUUGAGCUUCUUCUUCCCUUUGUCAGUCACUGUGCCUCCCUUGUUCUCGCUGAGGAAUGUCUUCAUAUCUUUUGAAGCCGUAAUGACCAAAAUGCCCCUGGAUUCGUGUUGAAUUCACUGGCAGGACCAAACUUUUUUUGGCCUUCUGCAGUUCUGCAGGUGAAUGAGAUAAUGGAUUGGGCUUGAAGUGAAACUAAGAAGGACCCUGUGAAAGACACAGAAGGGUGAUUUCGUAAUAAAUUAAAUCCUCUGUGGGCAUUUUAAAUACCAAAUGAAUUUUCAAAAAUAUGUGACUGUUGCAUGCAAUAUGGCUUAGUGUUGGAAAAAAACAACCUACGACAUGGCAUGAUUAAAGCUUAUCUUUAAUAAAAAUGUCCGGAUGUAAAAUGCAAACAAAAGAAAAAAUAGAAGAAAAAAAGGGUAAAAAAAAUAAUAAUAAAAUAAAAUCAAUAAAUUGAUUUUGUACCAUACUUCAAACUUAUUUUAUUUAUUUAACUUAUAUUUAUAAAAAUUAAAUAAUUUACAAAUUUACAAAUAUAUUACUCAUUUAAUCAUAUUUAAUUUUUUUAUUUUUAUAAUAAAAUAAAAUACCAUAAAAUCAUUUUCUUGUGUAUUUUUUUUUUCUUACUUCUUUUUAUGAAUCAAAUAUAAUCAUAAUAUCAAUAUGAAAAAUAUAAAGGUACUGAAAUGGUAUUUAUAAAAUAAGAUAUUUCUCCAUAAAACACUAUAAAUAAUUUUUCAACAGAUUUUCAUAUUUUUAAAAGUAUUUCCUAAAUUUUACCAAACACCUAAUUUUUUCAUAAACACUUUUUAGAUCAAAAGAGCUUCCUACCAAACCGAUCCGAUUAUCCUCUACAAAGAGGUUUAUGAUAAAAAUAUAAUUAAUAACAAAUUUAUAGACAAAAACAAAUUUACCUUAUUGGCUUCAAUAGAAAUUAAUUCCUUGACAAUUAGAAAGAGCCCUUUGCAACCAGAAAAUGCUUUUAGAUUUAAGGCGCUUCCGAAAAUCACUACUAAAGGAUCGACUAUCCUCUACAAAGGGGUUUAUAAUAAAAAUACAACUAAUAAAAAAUUUAUAGACCAAAAACAAAUUUACCAGAAUGGCUUCAACAGAAUUCCUUUAGAAAGAGCCCUUUGCAGCCAGAAAAGGCCUCCAUGCUCCAUUGCCCAAGUCUGUAUGUUUGGAAGUCAUGGGCCGCAAAGGCCUAAGAAGUGGAGAUGACUUCUAGUUCUAUGGGUCACAAGCUAUGGAUGGACCAAAUUGUGGAUUUGAUGGGCUUAUAGGCCCAUAUGUCUCUGUUGAAGCGUAGAGCAACUUCGUAUGAUGUGCUCUUAUUCUUUUUAGAAUAACUUAAGCAUUCUUUUAACAAAAUAUUUUGUAUUUGUUUGGUUAAUUUUUUAAAAUAAAUUUAUUGUAAUAUCUCAUAUCAGAUAAGAACGAAAGUUUUUAACGCUAUAUAUAUAUAAAUUUCUCUUAAUCUUAUACAAGCGUUUAAAAUUGUGAGGACUCAUUUGGGCUUACAAUAGACAAUAUUUGUAUGAUUGAGUGCGAGUCAUUAUAGAAAUGGUAUUAGAGUUGAUCUCGACUCUGGGGUGUGGAUUUGUUUAGGUUCAUAUAAGGUGUUUGUUUGUUUGACCUUAUAAUCCUCCGACACAAUAAUAACAUUGUAUCACAUGAAAGGUGUUUGUAAUAUCUCAUAUCGAAUAGGGAAAAAAAAUUUUGACGCUAUAUAAGUAUCGUUUUAAGAUCAUAAGGGCCAUUUUAAAAAGAGCUCUAUAUAAGGUACUUCUAAUAAGAACCUUAUUUAUUAUUUAAUAAAACUUUUAUAAUAUUAACAUUAUAUUAAAAAAAUUAUAUUAUUCACUUUAAUUUGGGGUUGAUUGGAGCCAAAUAAAUCGAUAAUGAAAAACCUAAACUUUUACCAACAAGUCAUUUUUCUACGUAUUUUAUUUUGAAUAUUUUUCCACAUGUCUCAUAAAUGGAUUAAAAAUCAUGGUGGGCAAUUUAGUGCCAACUUUAAGGAAAAUCAAUUUAAUUUGGGCUAUGUCUGGUUUCCCCAAAGUACUAAAAAAAGAAAAACAAUGUUAAGAAAAAUGAUUUUCUCUUAUUUGGCUUCACCAUAACUUUUUUUAAAGAAAAUUAUAACUAAUUAAAAUUAGUUAUAAAUUUAUACAUUUUAAAAUUGUUGAAUCUUGAUAUGAUAGAUGAAAUUAAGUGAAAUGAAUUCGAAGAAAUAUAUAAAAAUAAUUUAUUAAUUUGAAUCUAUUUUUUAUUUUCUUUCAUUUUUCUUUUGUUCCACUUUUUCUCUUUAUUUUACUUCCAUCACAUUUUUUUCUCAAAAUUUUUAGUAACCAAACAUAAUAAAAUGAUAAAUCAUUUGUUACAAAAGCAUGUUUUGUUUAGUGUGGAAUUUUCUCAAUCAACUGAACAGGAUUUUUUAUUUUAUUUAUUUAUUUAUUUUCAAAUGAUAGUAAUAGACCAAAACCCCUUGGUUUCAAAUGUACCCCAUAAAAGGUACACGGUACACCACAGAAGCUAAUAAUGAACCGACUGGGUAUUGGUUGAGUCCAAUCAAUGCGGCAAUAACACUCUUCUUGUAGCCGGUUUCCCACAAAACCUUCCAACUUUGACCCAACAGAAAUGAUAUUCUAUUAUUAUUAUUAUUAUUAUUCUUAAUAUAUAUAUAUAUAUAUAUAUAUAUAUAUAUAUAUAUAUAAAAGGCUCACUUAAUUCAAAUUAAAGUCCUCUUUUAGUCCAUAUGUUAUAAAAUAAGUUUUGUUUUAUUUUAUUUUUAUAAGUGAUUUUUAUCCGGUCAAAACCAUGUCAUGGUUACCUAGGAUUUUCUUUCAUAAAAAUCGGUUUGGUACACUAAUCAUGAGACUUCUGCUUUUUAAGAUUCAACCACCGACCCAAAAUCAUGAGACUUCUCCCUUAUCCGACACAGAUUGAUGUAAUGAAAGUCAAACCGAAAAAGGAAAACUCAACUUUUUUAUUUUUUCAGAAAUUUUAUUAUAUAUAAGAUAAGAUCUGAUUGCCUAAUGAAAUAAAAGCCAGCCUUCCAACACCCAACUACAAUGUGGGUCACGUCUGCAUGCUUCUUAAUGGUUGCUCUCUCUAGCAACAUCUCUUAUUGCCUAUAAAUGGAGGUCAGGAGGCACUGGUGUACAUACUUCAUCCUUCUCCAGCCCUUUCUUUAAGAGUUCACCAUAGGGAAAAUGGGUUCCAAGGCUUUUGUUUUCCUGGCUCUUUUAUGGGCUGUUCUUCUUCUCAUCUCUUCAGAGGUGGCCGCUAGGGACUUGGCUGAGACCUCCACUGAACAAAAAAAGAGUGAGUUUGCUUCAUUUAUUUAUUUAUUUUUCCCCAUGUAACGCUGGUUUUGUCAUUCAUACACUAUAUAUGAAUGUAUGAGUGAAUUAUCAGUAAGGAUACCUAUACAUGGAGAGUGGACUUUCAGUCUAAUAUAAGCUUCCAAAUACUCAACUAUUUUUAUUAACCUUAGACUAGAACCAUAUAUAGAUUCUAUCAAAGGAACCUCUUGAGUUAUAUACAUGUUUAUAUAUGCCUUAUACUGCUAUAGACAAAUGUCUAUUACAUUAAUUUGAUAUACCUCAAAACUGCAGCUGAGGUGGCAGCAAAGACAAAUGGGGUAGAUGAUGCCAAGUACCCUGGCUAUGGAGGGUACCCAGGUGGCGGAAAUGGAGGAUACCCAGGUGGGGGAUACGGAGGAUACCCAGGUGGCGGAAACGGUGGAUACCCAGGUGGCGGAAACGGAGGAUACCCAGGUGGCGGAAACGGAGGAUACCCAGGUGGCGGAAACGGAGGCUACCCAGGUGGCGGAAACGGAGGCUACCCAGGUGGCGGAAACGGAGGCUACCCAGGUGGUGGAUAUGGAGGGUACCCUGGCCGCGGAGGCUCUGGCCGUGGAGGUUAUGGUGGUAAUCAGGGCCGUGGAGGCUAUGGAGGAGGGUAUUGCCGGUAUGGUUGCUGCAGUGGUGGGUCCUACGGAAGAGGUUGCAGGAGGUGUUGCUCUUAUGCAGGUGAGGCUGUUGAGGCAGAAACUAAAGCCAAGCCUCAGAACUGAAGAAGCAAAUGAUUAUCAGUUAAUUAGCUAUAUUGCAAUAUCAUAUGUAUAUUAUUGCUUGUGUAGUGUGUGUACCAAUAGGUCCAAUACUUCAUUAGAAGUGCUUGUGCAUUACUGUGUACCAAUACUUCAUGAGAAGUAGUAAUAAAAUCAUGGGUGGAUGCUUAGGUCUCCACACAUGCUCUACCUGGUUAAUUAAUGUAAAAAUAUUGGACAUAUCCUUGUGAUUGUCCAAAUACUUAAAAUGAUCAUGUCUUGUUUAGUAGCAAAAUCAACAACCCUUUUGUCUUUAAUUAAAGAAAGAAAAAAUAGCCAUUUUCAUUUUGCUAUCAUAGAUUUUUACUUCAUUUGAAAAACUAGCUUUGAUACAAACGGAUGGAGACAGAGAGCCUACUGUAAGCUUCAGUGAUGAGGCUCAUUGCAUUCAAUGCCAUUUUUUUUGUCUGAAAUAUUGAAUGUAGUUAUCUGCAUAGCAUAGGGACUAGAGGCAUUGUUUUCCCUUUCAAAAUGUGGUUCACAAGUUGCCAACAAAAUACUGGGGUGUAAGAGGAGGCAUACAAAAUUAAAUGGAUUAUGGCUCCCUGGGAUGAGCCCCGCACCAGGCACAUAGUGAUGGAGGCAAUAUUAAUGAGAACUGACGAACCAUUGAUGAAUAAAUUCUAAGAUCCGAGAGUGCAUGUGUCAUGUGUCGAAUUCUAGGCAAUCCAAAACCCAAAUCAUGACUCCAAGUCAAAAAUUUGACCCUAACGGUUACUUCUAUCUUAGCUAGCAAUCAACUAGUCAAACAAUUUCCUCUAAAUAGUUUAGUCUUAAAUUAAUAAAUAAAAUAAUACUAAUAACUAUAAUACAAGAAUCAUCUAUAGGUAAGUCUUAAUUACUAAUAGGGUCUCCAAAAAGCCCACAGCCCACAGCUCGGCCCAGGCCCGAGCCCAUUUCUGGGAUGGGCCGGGCCACGACCCCCAAUUUAGGCCUGGGCCGGCCCGCCACUUAAAAGAAAUGUAUAUAUAUAUAUAAAAAAAAAAGAUAUUCAAAAAAUAGAAAAUGCUACAUUAAUAAAAAUAUUCAUUGCUAACUAUUUUAUUCAUUGAAUAUAUACAUUACAUUUGAAAAUGUGGGAAAAGUUUACAUCACUACAAAAUAAGUACAUUCCAACUAGGUUGACACCUACUUAUUUGUCAAUCAUUUGUACUUUUCAACCACAAAAAAUAAAAAUAAAAAUAUGACAUACAUUUAGUAAAAUAUUUUAAUCAUUAUCUUUUGGCGGUGAUGGCGAACUAUCGCAAAUCCAUGAAGAUCUUGAUGAUUUUAGUUUUUCCAUAUCGGUAAGCAUAUUUUCUUCUUGAAUAGAAUCAAAUAUCCUUUUAUCUGCUAUUGCCCAGUCUUUCACACAUAUAUUUGCUUCAAUAGAAUCUGGCGCUAAGCUGCAUCGUUUAUCACUAACUACUCUUCCACCUGUACUAAAAGCAGCUUCUGAUGCAACUGUACUCACAGGAACUGUUAGUACAUCACAAGCAAUGAUAGAAAACACAGGAUAUUUGUUGUGUUGUUUGGAGAACUAUUUGUUGUCUUCUUUCGAAUUUUCAACAUUUCUAGAGCUCCUUUAUAAAAAGAUGAAGAGCUUGUAGAUGUAGGUGGUAAUUUAAUAAAACUAAUAUCAUUACCAUAUUUUUCUUUAUAAUAGUUAUAUAAAUUAUAUAAUAAUGAAUUUAUUUCAUUUUUAAUUUCUUCAAUUUUUAUUUGGUCAUUAAAAUAAAUAAUUGUUAACCAUUCAUCCAAAGCUUCAAAUUUCAAUCUAGGGUCCACAAUUAAACCAAAAUAAAAAAUUAAAGGUAUUUCUCCCCAAUAUUUUCUAAAUUUUUCUAUCAUUGCAAAUAUUGCAUCAUUAAAUAUAUCCAAAUUUAAAUAUUUUUGAAGUACAAUAAAAAUAUUAGUUAUUUGCAUGACAACUCGAUUUGAAGAUGGAUAAUAUACACCACAAAUUUUUUUUUGUUGAAGUAUCAAAUACUUCAAAACGAUCUCUUAAAAGAUCUGCAAUAUGUCAAUCAUAAUCAUUUAAUACAUCAAUAUCUACUUCACAAUCAUUGCUAAUUAAUUGUAUUUCAUAUAGUUCUAUUACUUUUCUAUAUUUUAUAAUAGUUUGUAAAAGUUUAUAAGUGGAAUUCCAUCUAGUGGGCAUAUCCAGAUUUAUAUUUCUUUUUUUCAUAUUUAACAUUUUGCAACAAUAAAAAAAUAAUUCAUGUUUUGCUUGAGAACUAUUAAGACCCGCAGCAAUGCCUCUAAUUUUUUAUAAUGUAUCAUCAACAUGUUUUAAUCCAUAUUUUACAAUUAAAUUUAAAAUGCGUGCACAACAAUGCACAUGAAAUAUUUUACAUUGAUCUUCUUUUAUUUGUCAAUAUCGUUUUAAUCUACAUACUACAACAUCAUUAUUAGAAGCAUUAUCACGAAUGCCAAAAUCUAUAAUUUCAUCAUUUAUUAAAGAUGCUAUAUUUUUACCAUUAUGUGGAGCAUUUAUUAUUUUAAAUGAAAUAAUUCUUUUAUUUAAUUUUCAUUCAUUAUCAAUAUAAUGAGCAGUUAUACAUAAAAAAACCUCUGUGAGUUAAAGAUGUCCAAAUAUCACAUGUUAAACAAAUUCUUCCUUCAAAAUUUGCAAAAAAAAAUUUAAAUUUUCUUUUUGUGUUUCAAAUUUUUUUAUAAGACUUCUUUUAACUGUAUUUCCAAAGCAACCUUGAAACUGAGGAUUAACAGCUCGUUGCAUUAUUCCCAUAUAAUCAUGAGUUUCUAUGAAAUUGAAAGGUUGUUAUGCUCUUAUUAUAUAACCAAUCAUUUCUUCACGACAAUAAGAUUCAUCAUAAGAAAAUGUUUUUAAAUUUCCACUUUCAUCUUUAUCUAAUUGCAUAUAAUUUCUAAUAUCUACAUUAUUUUUAGUUUUACAAUUUUCAUGAUGCCUUUUUAAAUGACUUGUACCUGUAUUUGAGCCACCACUAAGAAGUUUGUUACAAAUUUUACAUUUUGAUUUUAUUUUUUUAUUUUUAUUUUCUAAAUUUAUUUCUAUUCUAUAAAAAAUUCCAUAUAUUUGAAGUAAAUUUUUUUCUAUCACAUGCAUUAGAUGAAGAAUAAGAACCACUUGCCAUAAUUAUAAUUAUUGAUAAAAUAUUAUGCUAAAAAUAAUAAAUGUAAAAUUAAAAUGUAACAAAUAAAUAAAAGAAAAGGUGAAGUAUGUUACUAAAUUGGAGAACUGAAGCAAAAAUUCCUUCAAAUUCGAACUCUUUGAGCCACUAAUGCUUGUUUUUCACCAUCAAUAAUAUUGAAUAAUUUGAGACAAAAUGCAAUAAUUGGAAAUAUUGUGGAAUGGGAGAGAGCUUGACAGUUGAGAGAAUAAAAUAAAUUGAGGGUGUUUAAUACUUAUAGGGAGGUAUGUGACCGUUAGGAUUUAAUUUUUUUUUUUAAAUGCCAAGAUGACUGUUCAACGGUCAUGUGACUGUUGAACAGUCAACUCAUUUUUAUUUUUUUUUCAAAAAUCAUACAACAUUUCUAAUAUAUAUAUAACUAAUGUAAAAUUAUUACACAAAAGAAGGUCAGCUCAAUUGGUGGUUGGCUCUCCUUAAAAUCCAUAAGCCAAGGGGUUCGAAUCCCCCUCCCUUUCAAACUCAAAAGGCAUUUUAAUUUUUACCUAAGCCCACCCAAGCUCGUAGGCCCGCCCAACUUGAGGGCCCACGGGCCUUAGAUUUACCAAGGACCCGGCCCGACCAGCCCGUUGACUAGUCAACGGGCUCAGUGGCCCGCCUGGCCCGUUGGAGACCCUUAAAAUUUACUAUAACAAAAAUUAAUCGUAAAUCUAAAUAUUAUAAUAAUUCAAUAACAAAUUACACUAUACAAGUUAAACAUAAACUAUUACAUUUGAGAUAAUUACAAAAGAAUCAAGGUAAUUAUGAUUUUCAUUUCUUUGAAGUCUUUUUAGGAGUUCCAAUAGGAAUUAAUUUUUUCUGCAUCUAAAAAGGGAAAGGUGUGAACAUUUCUCGUAUGUUGAGUAAGGGUGUUUACACUCGAGGGAAAAUAUAAUAGUUUACAUUAUAUAAGAGCUUAACAUGAAUAUUAAAACACCAUAGUUAUCCACGAUUAAGACUGAUUAGAUUUUAAUGAGAUGAACAUGUCAAGAGUUUGAUACAUAACAUAGAAUAUUUAUUUAAUAUUAGCAUAUUUACGACCUAACAUAUUUAGGUUAAUUAAGUUAAUAACAUAGGGAAUUUCAAUUCAUUGGAACACUCACCUUAUGAAAUAUUUAAAAUAUAUAAAAGCAUAUGACUCACUAUAAUUAAAACUCAAAUAUAUGAAAUUUACACUCAUGAUAAUGAUCAUGUACACACAAUCAUAUAUAGUGCAAUUUUGUUUUCAAACUUUCACCAAAUGAUAUGUGUCCACACCUUAAUACACUCCUCAUUCAAAGUAUUCAUAGGAUAAACUGUCUUUCAUACAAACAAUCUUACUCUCUUUUUAAUUCAUUCUCUUGAAAGUCUUUUCGUUUUUUUUUUUUUUUUUUUCAUAAAUUGCCCUUUUUGGUUUUUUUUUUUCAUUUUCCUUUCCAUUUCAUACAACUAUUUCUUUAUUUUUCUUUCUAUACAACCAUGAAUGUAAAGUUAAUACAAUAUAAUAUUAUUGUUCAAUCUCAACUCAAAUAAUAAUACCCAAUGAUAUAAAACAAUUAUUUUAAACAUAUAACAAUACCUAAAAUUUUUGACAUUUUCAACACUAAUAAAUCACCAAUAAAUUUCAAUUCCACAUAGUUACUACACUACCACAUUGAAAUAGUUAAUAUCAUCAUCAUCAUCAUCAAUUAAUUUUUAAAAUUUCUAACAUGUCAACCAAUAAAAAAAUAUCAACUACUAUUCCAAUAAAUUCUAUUACAACCAACAAUCUUAAUAUUUUGACUCUGCAAUAAAUCUUCAUCUAAUUCCCAUUUAAAGGUUUUUUCUAAAACUAAAUCAUAAUAGGUUUAGGGUUUCCAAAAACAACCCAAAUGAAAGCCAUAUGAGGAUUUACUAUUGUUGUGUCUGUUAGUUCAAGAACACAAAGAUAAAACAAUCCAUACAAAAGUACAUGAGCUUUUAACAUGGUUUAUCUAACCAUGCUUACAUUCAAAGAUCGAUGAAAGAAAAUCAUUUUACUAUACCAUAAAUACAACUAUUAGGUUCCUGAAAGAGUGCAUCCCAUUUUUUCUCACAUCUCUAUCCGUCUCUUAUAGUUUUUACAAGUCUAUUUCAAUCUCAUAACUUUUUUUUUCAUGACUUAUAAUAUUUAUAGAGUUAUUCCUAAUAACUUUCCUUAUUAAAUAAGGAAAUAUAAUAUUAUAAUAAUAUAUCAACUUAAGAAUUAUUAUAUAUAAUAUUCUUUACAAAAAUGAAUUUAUUCUAAUUAGGAAUUUAGGAUAUUUUCCAACAACCUCUACCUUAGAUCAAAUUUCAUUGAGUCAAUUUUCCAUUUCUCUAUGACACUUUUUGUAUCACAUCAUGACGAGAGACCAAUUAACUUCACCUUCAACUAAAUUCCUUUUGCCAUCCUCUGUGUGCUAUGUUACCUUUGAUUCUUCCAAAAAUCUUCAUCUUGUGCUUUGAUAUUAGUUUGUUGUUAAGAACCAUGACAAAAUAAUAAUAAGGGGAAAAGAAUAAGAGAAUGAAAACAUAAACACACAAAGCACACAACGAUUUACAUGGUUUGACUUAAAGCUUACAUUCAUGCGAAGAGAUUACAACCUUAGAGCUCUCAAAUCCCAAAGUCCCAAGUACGCCUAUAAAACCAAACUCACUUUUUAGUCAUAUCUCUUCCUAUAUAUUUUUCUAAUUACAUCGGAAGAUUUCAAAUAGGAAGCUAAUUUUAUAAUUGUUAAAUAUGCAUUUCAUAAUACGAUAUUUCGUUUAUAGUAAUAGAAAACUCCUUUACAAGAAUAUUUUCUAUUAAGAAGUUAUAAAUGACUUUCCAAGUGGCUCAAAAAAAUAGAAUCUGAAAUAUUUUCAAUAAUCUCUACCUUGAAUCAAAUUUCAUGAAGUCAAUUUUCUAUCUUUCCAUGAUAGACAUUUUUUUUUUAAUGAUAUCCCAAAGAGAGAACAAUCAACUUCACCUCCAACUAAAAUUCCUUUUGUCAUCUUCAUGUGUUUUGUUCUCUUUGGCUCUUCCAAGAAUCUUCACCCUAGGCUUUGAUAGCAGUUUGUUAUGUCAAUAAAAGCUUUAAUACAAACAUGUUAGUUCAAGAACACAAAGAUAAAACAACCACACAAAUAUGUACAUGCUGUUUUAACGUGAUUCGACUAAUCAUACCUAUAUCCACGGAUAAGAGAUAAUCAUUCCACUAUACCAUAGAAAAUAUUACAAAGGAUAGCAAUAGUUAUCUAAUAAAUUUUUUAAACAUCUCAUGUUUCUCCACUCCUUAUAUCUUCACCCUAAGCCUUUUGCUCAAUCCACUAGGUACUUCCCAUUUUUCCUCACAUCCCUAUGCAUCUCCAUCUCAUAUAAUUUUUACAAGUCUAUCUCCAUCUUAUAACAUUUUCCCUUACGACCUAAAAUAUAUAUUGAAGUAUUCCUAAUAAUCUUCCUUAUUGAAUAAAGAAAUCCAAUAUUGUAAUAAUAUAUCAACUUUAUAAAUAUUCUAUAUAAUAUUUUUUUUAAAAACAUUUAUAAAAAUUUGAGACAUUUUCCAACAACUAUUAUUAGCAUUUUUUUAUGAAGUCCAUGUGUCCUUUAAGUUUGAAAUAUCAAUUAUUGUUUAAUAAAUAAAUAAUACUAACUAAAAUUCUAUUGGUCUGUUUUGAGAAAUUUUUUGAUAAUUAACUGCUUACUUUGAUGGAAAGUGGGAUAAUGAGUGUUUCUGGGACUUAUACUCUCUCUACCCAAAAAAGAGAUAUUAAUUUUUCUCUUUAUCAGUAAAACAUCUAUCAAACGUAAGGGGUCAAAAAGAGAGAAACACAGUUUGCUGUUACAGUUGAUUUUCUUCAAUAAAUCUCUCAUAGAUCAAAGUAUGUUUUCUCUUCUCAAUUUUCUGUUGUGAAAAUCAUAUUGUUUUACGAUAUUUGAAUAUUAUGAUUUAUGCAAAAGUUAGAGUUUUUAUCGUUUUGUAUGAUGAGAAUUUAAUAAAUUACUCAUGAAUAACUCAGUAACUCACCCACUUUCACUUUGUUAAAGGUUUUUUUUCUUUCCUUUAUUUAUUUAUUUUUAAUCACCACAUCUCCUGGUAUCAAAUAGGUUGUUUUGAGCUGAAUUUCUCAUUCAUCCAUACCUAGUUUUAAUCAUAUAAAUAUACUAGUUCAGCUCGACACAUUCUACAGUGGUUCCACCUUAAAAUACCUGUCAGGAGCCCUUUUUUUUAUUCAUAAACCCGAAGAUCCACCGAACAACGUAAACCCACAAAGUGAUCAUCAGGAUAGCUGGCCUGCGUUUAGACAUGCAUGAGGAGAGGAUAUACAUCAAAAACCUGUGUUCACAUGUUAAUGAGCAAAGGAUGUGUAUAAAAUUUUGUGUUCACAUAUGCGUGAGGAAAGGUUAUAUAUAAAAAUCUGUGUACAUACAUGCAUGAGGACAGGAUAUUUAAAACCCAGAUUGACUAUUGAACAAGUACAUAUAAAAAUCUGUGUUCAUAUAUGCAUGAGGACAGGAUAUUUAAAACCCAGAUUGACUAUUGAACAAAAAAACGUGAAAUCUAAUGUCAUAAUGUUGGUGCAAUCGGUGCAAAUUAGCUUAAUUCAUUUGCCAGUUGCCGCAUCUGAGUCCUUCCUCAGCUCAGAUCAUCCAGCUGGCUUUCACGUAAACCCCAAAACCUACACAAAAUCAAAGAGAUGGGCUUUGAAAUGAAUACCAGGGGCCAAAAUCUUCAUAACGCAUCAAAAUUUUUAGGUGGCAUAUGACAAAAUCCCUUUAAUUUCCGCUGUCUUGCUCUCACCCACAUUUUUCAUCUCAUAGUGCCCCUCCAGCCCUAUAAAUUCUGGUUCAGGAAAUGCUAGCAAUCCAUAUCCGUUCUAGUCUUUCUAGCUAGUGAAAAUGAAUUACAAGGCUUUCGUUUUCCUCAGUCUUUUAUUUGCAGUCGAUAUUCUGGUCUCUUCUGUGGUGUUGGCUGAGACAUCUAUAGAUGAGAAAAAUCGUUAGUAUAGCUAUUUCUUCCCCUCUCCUUGUUUUCCCUGUUUGCCCGAAAACCUCUUUUUUUUUUCCUUUCUGUUUCUUUUGUUUUCUGAAAUAACUGGUUUCAUGCAAUCUUCAGAAAAAUCCAGUGCAUUUAAAAGAAAAUGAAAGAUUUUCAAUUUUACGUGUCUCUUCAUUCAGCUGUGCUAUAUUUUCGAUCUGAUAUAUAUUAUUUUGCUAAACAGAACAAAUUCCUGAUUAAAUGUAGAAAAUAACAAUUUUUAUCAACAUGUUGCAGAGGAUAUAAAUCAGCUAGAUGAUGCAAAUGCCAGGUGUCAACAAGGUUGCUGCGGUGGCUAUGGCAGAUUUGGAUGCAUGAGGUGUUGCUCAAAUGCUGUUGAAGCUGGAACCAUGGUAGCCGAACCUCAAAAACGUUAGUAUCCAUAGACAUUCUGCUCCUGUUUUUUUCAAUUUUGCAUGGUAUCAAGGGAGGAGGGAAAAAAAAGUCAUGGGAAACAAUUCCAUGGACUCUAUUGAUUAAAGGAUCGAUAUUUUUCUAUAAAUUUAGAAUUGCAGCAGAUUGCAUACGUUAGAUUGCAUAAAUUUAGGAUCAAUUUUGUAAUUGUUGAUUAUAAUACAUGAUGGGCCAUGCACAAUUUUCAAACUCAAUAUAGAAUAUAACAAGUUUUGUUUAAUCUUUUCAGCGGAAGCAAACCAUGUAGAUGAUGUAANNNNNNNNNNNNNNNNNNNNNNNNNNNNNNNNNNNNNNNNNNNNNNNNNNNNNNNNNNNNNNNNNNNNNNNNNNNNNNNNNNNNNNNNNNNNNNNNNNNNNNNNNNNNNNNNNNNNNNNNNNNNNNNNNNNNNNNNNNNNNNNNNNNNNNNNNNNNNNNNNNNNNNNNNNNNNNNNNNNNNNNNNNNNNNNNNNNNNNNNNNNNNNNNNNNNNNNNNNNNNNNNNNNNNNNNNNNNNNNNNNNNNNNNNNNNNNNNNNNNNNNNNNNNNNNNNNNNNNNNNNNNNNNNNNNNNNNNNNNNNNNNNNNNNNNNNNNNNNNNNNNNNNNNNNNNNNNNNNNNNNNNNNNNNNNNNNNNNNNNNNNNNNNNNNNNNNNNNNNNNNNNNNNNNNNNNNNNNNNNNNNNNNNNNNNNNNNNNNNNNNNNNNNNNNNNNNNNNNNNNNNNNNNNNNNNNNNNNNNNNNNNNNNNNNNNNNNNNNNNNNNNNNNNNNNNNNNNNNNNNNNNNNNNNNNNNGUGGUCAUGGAGGAGGUGGAGGCAGCGGUCAUGGAGGUGGUGGAGGUGGAGGUGCUCAUGGUGGUGGUGGAGGCGGUCAUGGAGGUGGUGGAGGUGGAGGUGCUCAUGGUGGUGGUGGAGGCGGUCAUGGAGGUGGUGGAGGUGGAGGAGGUCAUGGAGGCGGUGGGGGAGGAGGUGGUCAUGGAGGAGGUGGAGGUGGUGGUCAUGGAGGAGGACAUGGAGGAGGUGGCGGAGGAGGAGGCUACGGAGGAGGAAGUGAUGGCCAAGGAAGCAACUACAGUGUAAAUGGAAGGAAGAUGCUGCAUUAAUGCAGACACAUCUCAACCACUUCGACCCUACGUGUUUAAGUGCAGCCAUGCACUCUACUCCCUCUAUAUGUAAUGUACUAGGAUGUAACGUAAUAAAAAUAUGAAUAAUAUGCAUGUGGGUUCUCUCUUUUCUUUCCAUCCGAUCGUGCCCCAAUUUCCUACUUUUAUCUCUCCUCAAUUAACUACUAC
rnacentral:lncRNA from 1 species